rnacentral:SRP_RNA from 1 species
GCUGGGUGUGGUAGUGCCUCCUGUAGCCCCAGCUACUGAGGAGGCUCAGGCCAGAGGAUCCCUCAAGCCUGACUUCUGGGCUGUAGUUUGCUCUGCUGAUGGAGUGUCCUUGCUAAGUUUGGUGUCAGUGUGGUGACCUGUUGGGAGCAGGAGACCACCAGGUUGCCUAAGGAGGGGUGAACAGCUCAGGCUGGAAAGAGAGCAGGUCAAAAAAAGUUUUCAGGUUGAUGAGUGAUGGGAUUGUGCCUGGGAAUAGUGCCAGCAACGGACUGAGCAACAUAGUGAGACUACCCUCU